rnacentral:rRNA from 1 species
AAACCUAGUUCAACUCUUUCUCACAAACUUUCCUAACAUUACUAACCAAAACAUUUGAUAUGACUAGUAGAGGAGAUCGAACAUCAACUUAAACACAACAGAAACAGUACCGCAAGGGAAAGGUGAAAUAUAUACCUCAAGCCCAAAAAAGCAAAGAUAAAUCCUUGUACCUUUCGCAUCAUGGUUUAGCAAGACAAUAUAAGCGAAAAGACAAAGUUUAAAACCCCGAAACCAAGUGAGCUACUUCCAAGUAGCUAAACUGAGCGCAUCCCCCUCUGUAGCAAAAGAGCGGAAAAACUUAGAAGUAGCAGUGAAAAGCCUACCGAACUUGGCAAUAGCUGGCUGCUCAACAAUGAAUUUUAGUUCACCCUUGAUUUCCCUACUACCACAAAACCAAGUCAAGGAAAUUCACCAGGGGUCCAGCCCUGGUGAAACAGGAUACAACCUAUACACUGAGAGGACGCCCAUCAUUUUUUCCCCGUAGGCCCCAAAGCAGCCCCCAAAAUAAUUGCGUCAAAGCAUAAGACUUAAAAAUAUCACAAAAACUCUUCACCUCCAGUUAACUAUUCCGAGCGACUCUAUCUUAAUAGAAAACCCAAUGCUAAAACUACUAACAAGAAUAGCUCUCCAGACACUCCUAUCAAUCAGAAAUAGACACACUACUGAUACUUAUCGGAUAGAAAGAGAUAACCCAAUAUCCAAAUCUCCACCACACCGUGACCCCAACACAGGAAUGUCCAAACGGAAAGAUGAAAAGCCACAAAAGGAACUCGGCAACCCCUGACUCCAACUGUUUACCAAAAACAUAGCCUUUAGCCACUACUAGUAUUAAAGGUAACACCUGCCCAGUGAGAAAAUCUUCAACGGCCGCGGUACCCUAACCGUGCAAAGGUAGCAUAAUCACUUGUCCACUAAUUAUGGACUAGCAUGAAAGGUCGCAUGAGAGUCAAACUGUCUCUUCUGGCCCAUCAGUGAAACUGAUCUUUCAGUCCAAAAGCUGUAAUAAAUCUAUAAGACGAGAAGACCCUGUGAAACUUUAACGACCCAUUAACAAUCAUUAAUGGUACUUUCGGUUGGGGCGACCUUGGAGUAAAACAAAACCUCCAAACUCAAAGAAAAUCCUUACCUACCAGGCCAACACGCCACUAUACGACCCAGCAAAGCUGAUAAAUGAACCAAGCUACUCCAGGGAUAACAGCGCCAUCUUCUUCAAGAGCCCAUAUCAAAAAGAAGGUUUACGACCUCGAUGUUGGAUCAGGGCACCCAAGUGGCGCAGCCACUACUAAAGGUUCGUUUGUUCAACGAUUAACAGC